AGAGUUUGAUCCUGGCUCAGAUUGAACGCUGGCGGAACGCUUUACACAUGCAAGUCGAACGGUAACGCGGAGAGAAGCUUGCUUCUCUCCGGCGACGAGUGGCGAACGGGUGAGUAAUACAUCGGAACGUGUCCGCUCGUGGGGGACAACCAGCCGAAAGGUUGGCUAAUACCGCAUGAGUUCUACGGAAGAAAGAGGGGGACCCGCAAGGGCCUCUCGCGAGCGGAGCGGCCGAUGACUGAUUAGCCGGUUGGUGAGGUAACGGCUCACCAAAGCAACGAUCAGUAGCUGGUCUGAGAGGACGACCAGCCACACUGGGACUGAGACACGGCCCAGACUCCUACGGGAGGCAGCAGUGGGGAAUUUUGGACAAUGGGCGCAAGCCUGAUCCAGCUAUUCCGCGUGUGGGAUGAAGGCCCUCGGGUUGUAAACCACUUUUGUAGAGAACGAAAAGACACCUUCGAAUAAAGGGUGUUGCUGACGGUACUCUAAGAAUAAGCACCGGCCAACUACGUGCCAGCAGCCGCGGUAAUACGU
rnacentral:rRNA from 1 species